rnacentral:rRNA from 1 species
CCUACGGGAGGCAGCAGUAGGGAAUCUUCCACAAUGGGCGAAAGCCUGAUGGAGCAACGCCGCGUGGGUGAAGAAGGUCUUCGGAUCGUAAAACCCUGUUGUUAGAGAAGAAAGUGCGUGAGAGUAACUGUUCACGUUUCGACGGUAUCUAACCAGAAAGCCACGGCUAACUACGUGCCAGCAGCCGCGGUAAUACGUAGGUGGCAAGCGUUAUCCGGAUUUAUUUGGCGUAGAGGGAACGCAGGCGGUCUUUUAAGUCUGAUGUGAAAGCCUUCGGCUUAACCGGAGUAGUGCAUUGGAAACUGGGAGACUUGAGUGCAGAAGAGGAGAGUGGAACUCCAUGUGUAGCGGUGAAAUGCGUAGAUAUAUGGAAGAACACCAGUGGCGAAAGCGGCUCUCUGGUCUGUAACUGACGCUGAGGUUCGAAAGCGUGGGUAGCAAACAGGAUUAGAUACCCGUGUAGUC